AGAGAGUGCAAGCGUUAAUCGGAAUUACUGGGCGUAAAGCGCGCGUAGGUGGGAUACUUUAGUCGGGAUGUGAAAGCCCUGGGCUUAACCUAGGAACUGCAUCCCGAAACUGGGUGUCUAGAGUAUAGUAGAGGGAAGUGGAAUUUCCGGUGUAGCGGUGAAAUGCGUAGAUAUCGGAAGGAACACCAGUGGCGAAGGCGGCUUCCUGGACUAAUACUGACACUGAGGUGCGAAAGCGUGGGGAGCAAACAGGAUUAGAGACCCUGGUAGUCCACGCUGUCAACGAUGAGAACUAGACGUUGGAGGGGUAACCCUUUAGUGUCGAAGCUAACGCGUUAAGUUCUCCGCCUGGGGAGUACGACCGCAAGGUUA
rnacentral:rRNA from 1 species